rnacentral:rRNA from 1 species
AUUGAACGCUGGCGGCAGGCCUAACACAUGCAAGUCGAGCGAGCGGCGGACGGGUGGGUAAUGUAGGGGGACUGCCCGAGAGAGGGGGAUAACUAGGGGAAACGGUGGCUAAUACCGCAUACUAUCGGAUAACCCAUAUGGGAUUAGCUAGUAGGGGGGGUAAAGGCUCACCUAGGCGACGAUCUCUAGCUGGUCUGAGAGGAUGAUCGGCCAAACUGGGACUGAGACACGGCCCAGACUCCUACGGAGGCAGCAGUGGGGAAUCUUGCACAAUGGACGCAAGCCUGAUCCAGCCAUGCCGCGUGUAUGAAGAAGGCCUUAGGUUUGUAAAGUACUUUUAGCGGGGAGGCGUUACCCACAGAAGAAGCACCGGCUAACUCCGUGCCAGCAGCCGCGGUAAUUC